rnacentral:rRNA from 1 species
UACGAAGGGGGCUAGCGUUGCUCGGAAUCACUGGGCGUAAAGCGCACGUAGGCGGAUCUUUAAGUCAGGGGUGAAAUCCUGGAGCUCAACUCCAGAACUGCCUUUGAUACUGGGGAUCUCGAGUCCGGGAGAGGUGAGUGGAACUGCGAGUGUAGAGGUGAAAUUCGUAGAUAUUCGCAAGAACACCAGUGGCGAAGGCGGGUCUCUGGGCCGAUACUGACGCUGAGGAGCGAAAGCGUGGGGAGCAAACAGG